CGACGCUUUUAAAAAUAAAGCAGAUUUUAACCGGCCUAACAAAAGGACGCGGGGAAGCCAAAAAUACUUCUCGCGCGCACUCUCCACUUCCUGUUCGACGAGACAAAUGGUCUCCUUGCAGAGACCGGAUAAUAGUUUCUUUGACGAAGAAGAAUAUUGCAGAGGGAGAAUUACUGAAUCAUUGAUCAAGUAGAGAUUGAGAAGGAAAUCUAGGGUUACAAGUGUUAUGCGACUCCAAAUCCAACAUCAACUUUGCUUGAGAAGGGUGAAGAUUUCUUUCAAUUUGGAGAUAUCCUAGUCAACAUCGACCCUUAUUCGUUCGAGUAGGAGAAGAGAAGGUUUUGUUCCUCCUCCUCCUGCACCCUCUAAGGGCAAUGAGCCCAAGGCUGUGGAGAAAAUUGAUUACCUGAAUCUUCCUUGCCCCAUACUGUACAAAGAAAUCAAUCGAGAAGCUCUAAGUGAUGAUUCUGAUACUGAAUCCCCUAGAGACAAUCACACUUCGGGAACAAGUUUGAAGCAACAUGGAGAUUCUCAGAAGUCAAUUAAAGAUUCCAAUACUGAACAUAAUGAGCAACAAGGAACAUUGACAAAUGGAAGUGAGAACCCAAUGAAUGAGAUGGAUGGUAGUAGCAAUUUACCUGCCAAUGAAUCUCACCAACCAAUGGGAGAGAUUGUGUCUUCAAUGGAUCCGGGACUAGUUGUCCAACACCUGGACCUGAAUUAUGUGCAGAAAAGCAUGCAAAUAAACUAAAUGGCUCCAACUUCAAUGUCAAGCGCUCGACUUUCUGGGGAAGGAACACUGUAAGAUGUUCAACCCUGUUAACAGAGCAGGGGUAGUGCUAAAACCCAGAAGUUUAGGGGGUCUUUGUUGCAAAACAAAGUUUGGAUGGCUAAGUGGCACCACCCCCUAAACCCUAAGUACAUGGUGGCAGUUUGUAAUUUACCCUUUCUUUCUUUUGAUGGAUAAUACAUGAUGAGCACUUGGCCAUCUGAAUGCUGUCAGUAUCUUGUCACACCAUUAACACUGAUCUCUGCAAACCCUAAUUGGCAAUUGGCCUCUCUUUGUGGUUGCAUUGUUGUUCUAACAUUCUUACAAACCAGGAAGAACACAUCCAUGGAGUCGAUUGACUCUUCUGGUGAAGAAGAGUAUGUUAUCUCACCUUUAACAACUUAACAUAUUUCUAUUUACAGCUAAGAAAAUUCUUACCUCUGCAAUAAUUCUUACCUUGGCUUGAAAAUGAAUGGCAGCUUCUUGCUUAUUUGGCUAGAAAGAGGUAACCAUUUCACAAAGUUUUGGAAGGUCCUUAUCAUGCAUAUGACAGUGCAUUGAAACUUGAAGUUUUUUGUUUACUGUUUUGUAUUCUCUCAUGCUCAUGGAGUUGUAUCACAUAGUCAUUCAUUGAAGUGUUUCUGACUAGACUCUUGGCUCUUAAUAUCAGAUGUGACAGUACCGAGAAAAUGGUUACACCCUGUAGGAGUUAUAUGAUGUACCAUGAAAAAAAAUGGUAUUUUAAAAAUUUAAAAUCAAUUCAUAUCUUUACAUUUUCUAUGAAACGUUUUUGUUUCAAUGGGUUCUUUUAUGAACCAUUACGCUUUCAUUAAAACAUUUUCUCUUUCUCUUGUUUUAUUUCAUAUUUGAGCAAGCUUACACAGAAAGCUACAAAUUAGGUUUAAGGAUGCACCUAUUUUAUCCAUUUCUCUAUUACCUUCAAUGAUCCUUUUACAUUUUGGAAAUUUACUUUGUCUACAAUUAUAGGUACCAGGCCAAUCAUGAUAGGAUCCAUUCCACACACAUACAGGGGGUAUGUGUGUGUGUUUGUCAUGCAUAUCAUUCUGACUGACGUGGCAUAUAUUGAUAUAUAUCAUGGUCAGAUCCAUUAUYUGAUUCCUGUACAUAUAUAAUUGGGAAUGAAACCUUUGAGCCAAACAAGAAAAUAGCACCUACAUCACAUCCCACAUACGUUUUAUUUUUAUAAUAUAUGAAAUGAAUUUCUGAAUUUUUCUGAGAAAUUCAGAGAAAUUCAUGUAUCCAUUGCAUCUACACCUACACCACAUCCCACAAGAGAAUAGCUCCUUUCAAUACCAUGUAUCCACUGCUUAAUCAUUCUGAAUUUCUCUGAGAAUUAGAAGAAAAAAACUAAUUAUGUAUAUGUGGGGACUAAUGCUAUAUGACAACAGCCUCGGCCAUCACUCAAGUGUGUAGUGGGAUUAGUGUCUCUUCAUACAAUAGGUGAACUGAUUAGUUGCAGCAGUAAAGCGACUUCAAAUGCUCUGACACCAUGUUCUCUAGAGAUUGGUCAAUUACCCAUCCGGGCCAUCUCUGCUUCCAAAAGGAUUAUGGUGAAAUAAUAUGUUAAUGUUAACAUCUGAGCAAGGUACCUUGGAUGUUAAGAUUUUUGGUAAGGGAAACAAAGAUGGGAGUAAAUAGGGGCAAUAUGAAUGUGGUAAUCCAGGGCUAGAUGGGACAAUGUGAUAACCAAUUUGAAUCUUCCAAUUUUCUUUUACAGUCUCAUUCUAGUGUACUGCAUUCUUCUCCAAUUCCUUUAAAUUUUAUACAUAUCUGAAUUCCAUAAUCCAAAACCACAACACAUUUUUUUUUGUAGUUUGCUAAAUUCCAUAAUCUUAUGAUGAUGACUUAGAAGAAGGGUUAUUAGGUGAAACUCCCCUUCACUUUUUUGAAAUUCUCUUGGUACAAGGACUAUCUCACUGGAGGUGUCCAAAAGUCAGGGUAAACCCAAGAGAAAGAUAGAAAAGUGAAGAGUGAUUUCAAAUAAUAACCCAAAUAAGUAAUACAAUCUCUUUAAUUAAUCGAGUUAGUUAAUUGUUCAGGGUAGCAGACUCCUAAGUUUGCAUAUUCUAUAUAUUUUUUAUGAGCAUUAACUAAUCAUACACAUAACCUUAUUCUUUGUAGAGGUCAGAUAGAGCUAUUUGCUUAUAGGUAUUUACAAUGUUUGAGCAUAAAGCUUAGUGCAUGAUACAACCCAGAGGGAAAAUAUCUCUAUUUUGUUUGAGCAUAAAACUUAACUUUAUCAUUCUCCAGGCUUUGUAGCAGAGGUUGUGGAACUAGGAAAUUCAAAUUAUUCAUUUGAAACAUGAAUCUCCAAUCGAUCUUUAAUCCUGAAAAAUACUUUGAUGAUAAUUAUAUUUAAGGAACUAUCAUACAAUCUGUCUUCAUGCAGGAACUGUACUCAAAAUUGAAGAUUCUGAGAGAGAUAAGGCAUAAUCAAUUUGUUUGGUUGGGCUUGAUUAAAGUAUCCAUCUAUUGCCUUUUAAGUUUCUGCAAUAUUGUAUUUCAUUUAGGUUCCAAUGGAUUGUGGGAGUAGAUUUGAAAUUAGGCUACACCUCUUUUCUUGGAAAGAAUUUGAAUUAUGGUAAAAUACAGAAUUUGCAAAGUUUUUCUUCCAUAUGCUUCCAAAUUCCACAUAGCUGAAAAAGCGGAAUUUGAAAUCCACCUUCAUCUAAUAAUCAUUACCCUGCUCUCUAAAGUGCAUAUAAUAAAUCAAAGAUGUAUUGACAUGACAAAUAAGCAUGUGUAUAUAUGGCUUAGUUUGGAGUGCAAAGCCUUAUAUUUUACAUGUGGU